GAUACACUUUGACAACUAUAGCAAGCGCGUCAAGAACCAUUAACUCGAUCAGCCUGAAUUUUAGACAGGCUUGUUCAUAACAAUAAUAGCAUGCUCGGGAAUGAAGGAAUUUCAAUUUAAAGCUACAUUUUUUCCUACCGAAAAUUUUCACUUAAAUAACGAAACUUUUUAGUAAAACGAUCACCAUUUCUGAAAAAAAGCAUGCAAAACCCACCAUUCAUGUACAGCGCAAAGGUACAACUUACAGGAUUUGUUCGUUUUUUUUUUGUUUUAUGUUUUGUUUUUGUGUUUCUGAUAAGAAGUUCUUUCUGUAACAUGCUCACCGCGAGAGACGUUGGAAAAAUUAUGUUUUGGUACAAUGACUGUAGUGUUUUUUUUUUUUUUUUGAAAAUUUCACAUGAUAUGCGUGAAUAAAUGUGCAUUAACUUUUUUUAAAUAUUUCGUUUGUCUUCACCAACAAAAAUAUUUUUUUAUCGCGAGCACAAGUGCAUAACCUUUUAAGACGGAAGCUGCGUGGCCGCAAGGUUACAGAGUCUGCUUUGUCAGUCGAUAUCAAUAAGAAUUAACCAUGGGUUUAUUCUCAGGCUCCCCCAUCAAUUACCUUUCCUUUACUCUAAAUUCUAUUAUACCUUUGUGUGACUUUCUCUUAACGAAAAUAAUUUCCUAUCAUCAAUAAAACUGACCCAAAGGGCGCACGAUUUUAGUUAAAAAGUUUUAGAAAAAUCUUGCAUUCAUUCCUAGGGUCCAAUGAAAAACAAUGAGACAGGUGAGUACGAUCAGCCAACCUACUUGUUUCGGGAAAAACAUGGGAAAUGUGGUCCCAUAAGCUUCUGUAUUGGUUAGUGGAGCAAAAUGGACACAGCUUUGCUAGAUGCUUUGUGAGAUGAUAGUUUACGACAAUAAAUAUUCAAAAUUUUGAGUUGUGUCGUUAUCCGACGAUACAAUGGUCACUUCUUCACAAUGCACUUCGUUUGGAGAUAAACACUUUGGCGAUACGCUGCAGUUUCCAAGGAAUCACACGGAUUCUUGCAAAGCUGUGAAUUGACUUUCACUGUCUUCCAGCAGACUAUUUUACUACCGGAGACACCCGACUUUGCAAUGUAAGUAAACAAGAAAAUAAUUGCAAGUGAUGAAUAAAAUGUAUUUUUUUUGUCAUUUUGAGUAGCUUCAUGUUAAUUACGAGCGGAAUCUGUACGCGGCCGUAGUCACAGGAAGCUGAGGUCUAUACCGGGUGCGCUUGAAGCUUCCAAUGCCGAACUUGAGUGAAACAUACCAGCACGAGAACAUGAAGAAGAAACUGCUGUUGCUGGACUACUGCUGCUGUUGGGACCACUGUUGCUGCUGGGACUAUUACUACUGCUGCUGGGACUGCUGCCGAACUGUUGCCUCCAAGCAGUUUCGUGGAAACUCUAGGAACAACUAUUACAACAUGAUCCAAUGAUCAACUGGAAGGCUCAGAAAUAUUGAAACGGAUAGGUAAAAUUGCUCCAGCGGGAGAACCUUGACUGAUACGAAAAAUUCAGCGAUUGCGACAUCGAUCGGGCAAGCAAGUCUACACAAUUGGAACGCUGCGUUCAUACACAUAUCCUGUUGUUACCAGGAAAUGAUUCAAUUAAAUGAACAAACAGAAUAAAAUUCAAAUCAAUCUAUUGUACGCUCUUUUAAAUGAUAGAAUGAUCAAAAUAAACAAAAAGAAU